UUGAGGACCUGACAAACUUUUAGCGUUAUGACUCCAAUAGCCUAUUUAUAUAGUUUUUUGCUACUUGUAACUAAAUGACUGCAUGCAAAGUGCAACUCGGAUGAUGAUAUCAAACACAUGGUGAGUCAUAAAACCAGCUGAAUCAGCCAGGCAAAUGAGAUUAACCGAGUGAUGUGUCUUUCAAGACUCUUUGAGGAAGUACCACAGUCCGCUCAUGUCAUGUUUCGCCGAUAAAGAAAUCCAAAAUGCAGGCGGUGGCAGAACAGCCUCUGGAUGUGUGUAAUGAUUAGUGAGGACUAUAACUCGAAGGCUCAAACUACCUGGGACAGAUGCCAAAUGCUGACAAAGGCAAUCAUUGCAUUCUCAGGGGUGAGCAAAACCAACGCUACGUCCUUUCGCGCUUGCUUUGGGAGGGUUAUUUAUAUUCCUCGAGAAACCACCGAAAGCAUUGACUAAUUGCUUAAGGGGUCGGUCACAUGCAUGGCUAAAGGGCAUGAAAAAUAGCUUUCUGUCUUUCACUUCGCAUCCUGUGCCAAAGUGGGCAGGGAGAAAGAGCUUGUGGUGAGGCGGGUGAAACGGAGGCCGCUGUAUGUGCUCUUUCUUCAGCCACAACCCCGAGGAAGAGCAUGUUUGGUGGUAGCACGUUUCUAGGUCUCUCUCCCCUAGAUAGGCGUAUUACGUGCGUGAGUCUUCUCUUCUCGCCGCCAUGACCCUGCCUUGUGUUCUUUGACGAUGAAGCCUCUAGUCUGCAGGUAUUCCAUUUUUUUCUCGCUUUCGUACUUUGUAAUAUCCCGUAGAUUAUUUUGUCACUUUUUAAGAAAUUCUCGUAAAGAAUCAUCGUCGAUUCUUUCACCCAGCUGCUCUGGGUCUCUUGUUCACUGUUGUCUUCCUCUUGUAAACGUGUCUGCUUCACUCCUGAAUCAAUGCCUCGGAUUCCGCCAUUUCUACCACACUGAACGACUUUCGGAUUAAAUAAUUGUUGAUGUACAUUUGAGCAAUGUUUUAACGCUAGAACCUAUUUUAAAAAAGGCUCGAAGCUAUUUAAAAAAUUGUUGAUAUUUUCAAAAGUUAUUUUCACAAUGAGGUAUGUGUUUCUUCAGAUAGCAUGCAUGUUCCGUUAGUUUUGGGUCGUGUUGAGCAAUUGAUUUUGGGGUUUGCGUUUGUUUAGGAAUUUGAAUGAUUUAAACAACAUGUAAAUAGUGUUUGGCUGCUACCUUAAUGUUUCUGGAGGGAAAUUAACACAGUGAUGUGUUUGAAUAUGAUGCUAGUGUUUAAAGGAUGGCCUAUAAAUUCCCCUGAAGUCAAAAAUAUAUUGCACAUCCCACACAUUGUCUUCUGUUGAAUAGAUUACGGUUUUGUAUUAUAUAUUUCUGUAAAAAGAAAGUGCCGGAGAGGAAACAGCUGUGGCAGAAAUAUUACAUUUAACAAAACUUAGACUUAGUUCAUCUUACAUAUACAGUAUGAAAGCAUAGUUUGACAUUGGUAGAUAUGAUCAAAAGUCUUAUUUUUAUAUUCAUCAGGUAAUCUUUCGCAAUGUAGGCUUGUCUUGUUUUUAUUCAAAUGCUUUUCUUGUUUGUUUCUGUUGCGUUUGUAUUGGUAAGUACCUGAAUGCCAAAGGACACGGAAUAUAACUAGUUCGGGAAAAAAUAAUAAUAAAAUGGAACAGAUUAGGAUCUAAUUAAAUACAAUUCUUUACUUAAUAUCAUUUGUAUCGCAGAUAGGCAGAAGUAACUGAAUAAAAUCCUUAUCAGAUAUUAUCGACAGAAUGCAUCAAACAGGCGUUUUUAAUUUAAGGUUUAUUUAAAGUAAAAUGAUGAAAGACAAAAUUGUAUUUAUUGAUCGUAAUGUAACAGGGUGGUGAAAAUCCAUCAAACCAACUAUUAUGUCAAUAUGUUUUUCCUUUUUGUCGAAUUCAUAGUAAAUUCCUUUAAAACGGGAUGAGCAAUCAAUGAGAUCUUAUUCUUUAUAAAAGAAAAGGCGACAUCCUUUUAUUAUUAUUAUGAGGUGUUCUAACUGGGAUGAAAUAGCACCAAUUCACCACUGAAAUUAAAACUGCAUCGAUGAAUUUGAUUCAAAUCUUUGUAAAAAAGAGGCACUCUCAAGAUGGCGUCGACAUGCCACGUGUUUGUGUACUACUGUACUAAGUGUAUAUUACUUAAGGGAUUUUUUUAGGGACUUUUAAUACAGUCAGUCAUUUUAAUCACAUCUUUAUUUCACAGCAUAUCGGCUCUCCACAUGCAAUCAUUUAUGGGAAAGCAAGACAGAGAAAAAUGAUGCUGUUAGGCUAGUUUGAUGAUUUGGCUAUAGAGCAAGGAUUUUUCUUGGGUAAUGUCUUUUUUGUGCUUUAUUACUCGUCAGCAGAAGGAAAGAGGGCAGCUAAUCUGCUGCUUGUUAAAGAUGAACAGAGAUACCCUCCAAAGAGGCACAAAAUCUUUGCAUAUACGUUUAUUUUGUUCAGAGACAGAGAGAUAGGAACAGGAAAAAAGUGGAGCGAGGGAGGGAGGAAAGGAGAGCAUUUCCUCCACCCUCUGUUCUCCUCAGAUGAACUUAUCAUGUAGCGUCAUAUUUUCUCUCUCUCCCUCUCUUUUUUUUCCUCUUUCCCAUACAGUCCCGCUCCCUCCAACAUUUACUGUAGCUGACAAUCAGAUGCACUCUGGGCUCCGACCCCACAUUAGCAAACAGGAAGUUUGAAAACAGAGGUUAACCCUAAAAAUACUUAGAUUUCACUGCACACAAAAUAAAAUCUACAACUUCUUGCUGCAAAAGACCGAAUAGAACACCAGUUUUUGAAGUAUUUGGACUUCAAACUGAAAGUUUUAUUUGGAUGAAGUGUUUAGAACGAGAGCAGAAAAUCCACUGCAGGUGAGAAAACACGCAGCAUAUGCUCGGAGCCUAUUAGUUACAUGGCCCCAGACGGGGGCAGGGAUCUAAGUCUAAUCUGCAAGGUCUUUGUAUAAACAAGGCAAGGCAGAAUCCUUAUCGUCGAGUUUCGAUGAGUAACAGCAGGCUCUCCAGAGACCGCGUGACAGAGUCAACCAAGGUCAAGCCAAGCCCAACUUCCUGUUUUUUGGGGGCCGCUAUUUAUGCUUUAAGGGCGUUUCUCUCUGGUGUAGGUUGAUGACAGGAGAUCAUAAGCAGAAUGAUUAAUGCCAUUUUAAAAGAGUUACAGCUUUCUGUGGCUCAACUCUUUUAUGCAGUGGUGUGGAGGGAAUAACUGAAGAGUAAUGUCACAGGUACUGUUACUGGAACAGGAAGAAAAGUGUUGUUAAAUGAAGUUCAGGGAAACUGUACAAUGAUUCAUACGAAUGAAAAAUAUGUUUAAUGUUAAUAAAUCUUGUGCAGCAGUUGAUGUGGUGGUAAUAUGCUAGAACCCGCCAAUGGUAAGAAUGCUGAUCUACAGCUGUACAAACAAAAGAUUACAGAUGAGAUAGCGACAGUUAUUAAUAGUAAAAAACAAAACAUCUAUUGUUUGUUCAUACCUUAUCUCACAUUUUCCUGGUUCAUGAGACAUGAUUUUCGGUUAUAUGGAUGCCAAAGGGAUUUUCAACGGGGAAGCUCCCCUCCUACGUUAAAUGAUCACUUCACAAAGGCAUUGUCCCAAGUUCCGUAUUCUUACAUUUUUUUAAAUAAAUUGUGGCCUCUUACUCUUCCUCUGCCCACAUCCCCCACCCUUCAAUGCUCUACCCACCACCCUCGUCUCCGUUCAUUGAAAUUCAGCCUGGCAUACAGGCACUGCCCCUUUCUUGGCACCACUCGGCGACAGAAAGGAGAGGAGAAAAUUACAAUGAAAACAAGAAUAUGUACCAAUUUCUCAAUCGCUGAGCUUGUGCCAAAAAGUAAACCAGUUUCGGUGGAUAUGAUUCGAGCUUAUCGAUAGCCAUUUUUGGUGUACGAUUUCAGCAAAUAUCGUAAUCACAUAUGGUCUUGGCAACCAUAGUGCAGUGGGAGGCGUUCAGCGGGCUAAUUGAUUUGCAUGUUUACCUUCUGCGAUUGGAUGGUUACAAGGGCUAACGGCUGUAUCCUUUGAUCACUAGGUAAGAUAGAAGGCCUUUUGUUGAUCUGAUUGAAUUUGUUUACCUCUUUUUUGAUUUGUAAAACCCUCAGACAGGGAAAUAAGACGAUCCUUUGUGGCUAUAAAGUGCUUGGUUAUAUGAAUAUGCCAAGAGGUGGUAUUGCAUAGGUGAUGCAUAAACAAAUGCAGGCAAUUAAAAAUGGCAGCCAUUUAUUGAGGGCUUUAGCUGUUUCUGAGAUGAUGAAUAUGUUUUUAAGGUUAAAUGUCCAUUUAAUAGCAGGCUUUGUCAUGUAUAUCACAUGGUGCAAAGAUUAUUUUAACCUUUGCAGUGUUUUUCGUGUUAGAGACACAGGCUCUGUUCCAAAACUUAGUGAGCUGCCUAUGUAGGGAGAGUUUUAAGUCAUCAUAGGCGCACUUCUGAUGUGAAGGCUGUUCCAAAAGGUAAGAUAUUUCACUAUUCUUAACAUUGUAUUGCAUGGCAAGAGUCCUUCAAUGAGGAGCCAAUCCCAGAAUGCAUUUCAAGUUUAACGAUUGUCAAUGUCAAUAAAUAUCCAUAUAAAAUCUUAUUUAAAAAAGUAUUUUACUCAGUAUUGUAGUGUGUAUUUUAAAAUGUCGUAGUCUUAGCAUAGCCACGUGCUAACACCAGACUCGAGUUUUUGUCUUCCACAAUUAUCCAAAUCAGUCACUUAUAAUACUGACUAUGCAGUAGAUCGCAAAGGCUGUUCACUAGGUUUUGAAAAAGACCAUUUAGUCUGCAGAGGGCAACCAUUCCCUCUUUUAAUUCAGAUUAAGAUGCUUAAUACAUAAUACAGUACAAAGUCUUUGUCAAAAAUACAUGCUGUGACAGUUAUUGACUUAUUUUGUUAUUAAUCUGGCUCCCAUGUUUAGGCUAUAAACUAAAGCUGAUUUAAACAUGUUGAGUUAUUAACAUAAGGAAACUAAUGCCUGCAGUGCUAUAAUGUAUUACAUGCAGAUUUGCGAGUGCUAAGUUAUGUUAAUGCUAUGACUUUGUGUUGCAAGCCUGCAUGCAUUCAGUUUAAGAGGCUUCCUUUUUAUAUUUAAAGAAUACAGAAACAUUAUAUCAUUCUAAAACAAAUUAAUAACCUAGUUUGAAUUCCAUUUUUAAAUAUAGCCUAGUUUUUAAAAGGCUUUGUCAACAUUAAACGAAGACAAGAUUUUUGGUAUAUCAUUUAAGUAAAUGUGUUUUUUUUAUUUAUUACAUAUGUCAUCUACUUAAGUGUAAAAUUUUGCAAGCAUUUAAAGUCACAUUUCAAUCACUUAAUGUGAAUCCCCUUACAAUACUGUACUGUUAGGGUGUGGUGAUAAUCAUAUUCAUUGUUUUUGUCGUGAGCAUUUAGCCCUCAACAUUCUCUUAGAGGAUUCACUUAGUCCUUUAGUGCCAUGUAGAAAAAAUAAGUGUAAUACUUCACUUUUGUGGGCUCAUUAAUGCAAACUAUUUCCUGAAGUCAAUGAGUAAAGUGUAAUACAGGCAUCAAAAGACUAUUUAAAUAUUGUUGCAGUUCUAUUUUAUGGUAUCUUAUGAUUCCAUUUUCAAUUCCACCCACACUGUCUACACUGAAAGCAACAGAUAAUCUCUAAAUUCUCUCUUAAAUACCCAUAAUACUGGUAAAAAUCAGGGCAUUUGUGUCUAAUUUGCAUUAGCAUUAGUGUUACAUAUUUUUAAAACACGAUUAAAGAAGUCAUUUACAUAUGAAAAAAUCUAAGCUGCACUAAAAUGGACCUAAAUACCUGGCAAAGCACCAAAAAGCACUGGUUAGUCCCCAUCAACACGAUUACUGCAUUUAGGGGAACAGAAGGGCAGACUAGUUCCCCAUGUAAUCUAAAAAUGAUCCAAAUGCCACAUCUGUCAGACCAUAUUAACAUAUUUUCCUCUUUCACGGGUGAAGCAUCAAAUGUCGUCCUCGAAUAAAGAAGCAGCUCUAGAAUAGCCAGUACAUCUAACAUGUUAAAUAACUACAUUUUUUUUGAUUGCAUCACAAUUGCAUGUCAGAACUAAUGGAGUUGGUAUAAAGUGCACAACCUGAUGAAUUACACACACGCACUGAUAAGAGAUAGUUAAGCGUGUUUUGUUGCACAGCUUCUGAGCUGACCUUUACAGAAAAGUUAGCAAAUCCGAGCUAGCACAGCAAAGUCAUGUCACGCCAUCUCUCACCUUCUGUCUCCUCCUUUGUGAUCCCGCAGACUGCGUCUCGUGCCAAAACUUUUCAAUCAAUGUGGCCCCAAAUGGGCCAGAAAGAGCAUGUGUAUGCUAAUUAGCUAAGAGGACUUUUGUAUGUUAACAAAUUGCUGAAAGACAAUGUCUGGAAGAGAUCUAUUUAUGCAAAGCAGACAUGCUCCACCUCUCAACACCACACAAUAACUGCUUUUAUUGCCGUUUUGCAAAUGUUUUGCGUAUCUCCUUUUGGAAGUUUAUGUUGGGUGUUCAAGAAUGAGUACAGAGAGGCUACUUGGGUUGUAAAGCUAUAACAUUCACAAAAUAAGAAAAUGGUUUAGCAGGAUGAUAAUAUGUUCAGAGUGCUGAUGUUCAGGGAUGUUUAGGUUCAUCACGUAUGCUAGCAUGCUAACGGGCGUCCAGAAGCAGAUGACUUUCACAGCAUAUCUGUUCAUUUUGUUGUGUGUGAAAGAACGCUAUUGACUCGAGGAUGAAUCUUGGCUUUCUUGUGGUUGUACUGAUGCCAGGCGUCCUUCAGUGCGUCGAGAGGGAGACCCUUGCUUGUGCAAACCGCCUCUGAGAACAGUGAAUGGGUUUUUCAGGCACACCUCGCAGAGGUUGCAAGGAAUGCACAGCACUCGCACCCUAAAAUGGCCGAAAUGACGCCAUUUUGUUUUCCCUCUAUUUUGCUGUACGGAAUAGCAGAAUCAGCUUUGUUAAGGCUACAGGAGACAGCUGGGGAAGCCAUGUUUUACAACGUCUGUUUACCUCAAAAGCGAAGCUUACGCAAUGUUGUCUUGUUGGAAUGAGCUCUGUUUUUUUUUUGGCAAAACGGGCGCCAAUUCCUGGCGAAGGAUCAAGACUUUUUUUUUUUUUUUUUCAUCAUGAUCCAAUGCCAGCCUCGCUAGAAUGAGUGAGUAAUUUCCUUGGCUUUCAAAAUUAGCGCUUCCCUCUUAGCCUGCAUCCUGGUUCAACUCCUCACAGUUCCCCAGCCUUUUUUCGCGUUUGAUCGUUUUUUCCGACUCAAAUAAGCGCCGCUGACUCGAGUCUGGAGAACACACAUGCCAAGCUUUCAUCUACUGUUAUUUUUCUCCAACUGCAUAGAAAUCAGCAGCUCUGUGAUCUAUGACAGAGCCCUUCUGAUGGUGUGACUGUUUGACUGAAGUCAGACCGUUGGUGUCUUAACAUACAGCGGCGACAGUUGCACACCUUGAUUUAGAGAAUAAAACAUUAAACCAUGCACAAUCACAAAAAAAGCUUUUCUUAUAACUAACUUCACUUGAAAUAACCUUUAACCAGCUAGUGUCAUGGUGGCUUUAGUGGAUGUGUGAAUUCGGUUCUCCUCAAUUUCUGUAAUGGUGUCCAGUAAGCAAUGAUUUCAGACACUAAAUGUGUCAUUUACAGUACAAUUAAAUGAAUAUGAAUUAUAACCAUUUAAAUUAAAUGCAAUUAAUGCGCUUUUUCCCCUCACUUUGAUAGGACUUAACUACAUCUUUAUAUGUAUUUUCAUAUUGCUCAAACUGUUCUGUGGAGUCCAGCAACAACAACGUUUGACUGUACAGUUGUGCUAACCAGCGUCUCUCUCUCCGCAGGAAUCCAGCGGUCUGCUUCCUGACUGGUGGACAUCUGCUCUGCUGUCCUUGGGGCUGAGGUAGUAGAUUGAAUAGUUGUGGAGCCCUGCGCUCUCUCUCUGAGAUAACUAUACAAUCUACUGUCUUUCCUAAGGUGACAGCCAAAUCAUCCACAAACACGUGUCUGUAUUCAUCCAAUGAGUCGCAAAGGAUAUUCGCUCAAGUUACAGAAAUAAAACGGGUUUGGACUGACGUGUCAUGUUGGCUUCAUUCAUACUCCAGCGUGUCAGGCGAUGGGAUUGGUGUCCUGACAGGGUGAGGUAGUAGGUUGUAUAGUUUGGUGGGAGGGAUCAAACCCUGUUCAGGUGAUAACUAUACAGUCUAUUGCCUUCCUUGUUGUGCCAACUAUCUGCCAGCUAGUGGAAAAUCCCUGGAGUUUAAAUAUUACUUAAACUUUACAGCCAGCUUCACGCCACAUUAACUAUGUAUGUGAACACAGUGUGUAAACAGUGUGCUUAUUUCAGCAUCCAUGUAUACACACUGCCUGCAAAAGCAGAAACAAUUACACAGUAGUCACCACAAGAUAUGUUGAAAAUACCCUAUAUAAACCUAUUUGUAGACUUUUAUUAAGCAGCAAAAUAAACAUGUUCUAUUCAGUAAAUCUGACUGAAUCAAGAUACUGUAAGUUUAUCUGCACUUAAUGCUUUUCGGUUCUGUUCUGUGUAGAUUAAUACAUAUUUAGAUAUGUACAGUAAAAGCUUGUGUAAAUUACAUUAAGUACUU